GCCCGGGUGGUGGAAUGGUAUACACGGAGGACUUAAAAUCCUCUGCCGCAAGGAUUGUGGGUUCGAGUCCCACCCCGGGCA
rnacentral:tRNA from 2 species